CAGACAUAAUUUAUUAAUUUUAAACACUUACACCACAAAAAGCUUUAACUUUAUCAUUUCCAUUGUUUGUCGAGCAUUAAUAUAUUCCCAUGCACAUACACAUGGACAUACAUACAAACACAUUCAAUAUUGUACGACUUUAUUUGACUUAACCCCAUUUGUAUUUGUAUAAUAAAUAUUUUACUGUAAGAAACGGUCUAGAUAAAUAGCAUAAUUCGAGGCUAACACGAGUGCGGAUGAAACUGACGAAACAAAAACAAAAAACCAAUGAGGAAAAAAGACAAAUUAAAAUUGAUAAAAUAACGAACAUAUUUAUUUAUGGAUACAGACAUACCAGUACCAGUACCAGUACCAGUAAAAGUAACAGUUAAAAAGUGUAAUUGUUGAGGAGAAAAAAUAAACGCAACCUAUGCAGAUUAUGCGCGAUCGUAAGCGUGGAAUAUUUGUGUGUAUAAUUGUACUAAUAUUAACAUUAAAUUAUUAACAAAUACGAGUGUACGUAUGUACAUUGUCAACGCCGAGCAGGAGGUCGGGCGUUUGAUUGACGAUUGUGCUGUGUGGAGCACAAACUAAAUGUAAAAUUUAAAUGUAAAAAAUACCAAAAACCCUAAGAAGUAUAACGAGAACAAGAAAAAUUAAUUACAAUUACAAACUCAACCCAAAAUUAUGGCGCCUACUGCUUGGCCAAUCUGAUACACUGAAGAGAUAUACAGCAUAUUAAAUAUACAUACAGAAAUACGAGUACGAAUAUUUGUGGUAAAAAGAGAACGAACUAAAAAAUAA
rnacentral:lncRNA from 1 species